CCUACGGGGGGCAGCAGUGAGGAAUAUUGGUCAAUGGGCGGAAGCCUGAACCAGCCAAGUCGCGUGAAGGACGAAGGUGCCAAGCAUUGUAAACUUCUUUUGUCAAGGGACAAAAUCAGGCUCGAGAGCCUGACCGAGGGUACUUGAAGAAAAAGCAUCGGCUAACUCCGUGCCAGCAGCCGCGGUAAUACGGAGGAUCCGAGCGUUAUCCGGAUUUAUUGGGUUUAAAGGGAGCGUAGAUGGGUUGUUAAGUCAGUUGUGAAAGUUUGCGGCUCAACCGUAAAAUUGCAAUUGAUACUGGCAGCCUUGAGUACAGUUGAGGUAGGCGGAAUUCGUGGUGUAGCGGUGAAAUGCUUAGAUAUCACGAAGAACUCCGAUUGCGAAGGCAGCCUACUAAACUGCCACUGACAUUGAUGCUCGAAAGUGUGGGUAUCAAACAGGAUUAGAUACCCCAGUAGUC
rnacentral:rRNA from 1 species